GGACCCGCACAAGCAGUGGAGCAUGUGGUUUAAUUCGAUGAUACGCGAGGAACCUUACCAGGGCUUAAAUGUAAGUUGCAUAGAUCAGAGAUGGUCUUUUCUUCGGACUACUUACAAGGUGCUGCAUGGUUGUCGUCAGCUCGUGCCGUGAGGUGUCAGGUUAAGUCCUAUAACGAGCGCAACCCCUGUCGUUAGUUGCCAGCAAGUUAAGUUGGGCACUCUAGCGAGACUGCCAGUGCAAACUGUGAGGAAGGUGGGGAUGACGUCAAAUCAUCACGGCCCUUACGUCCUGGGCUACACACGUGCUACAAUGGCCGGUACAGAGAGCAGCCACUACGCGAGUAGGAG
rnacentral:rRNA from 1 species